rnacentral:pre_miRNA from 14 species
UUUUAUAAGCAUAACUGAAAGACCCCUGGAGCGGGGAGACCCUCACUCAAGUCUCGGGAUGACGUGACCCCCCCAAGAACUCACACAAGACC